rnacentral:rRNA from 1 species
AUACGUAGGGAGCGAGCGUUGUCCGGAAUUACUGGGUGUAAAGGGAGCGUAGGCGGGAGUGCAAGUCAGAUGUGAAAUACAUGGGCUCAACCCAUGGGCUGCAUUUGAAACUGCAUUUCUUGAGUGAAGUAGAGGUAAGCGGCAUUCCUGGUGUAGCGGUGAAAUGCGUAGAUAUCAGGAGGAACACCGGUGGCGAAGGCGGCUUACUGGGCUUUUACUGACGCUGAGGCUCGAAAGCGUGGGGAGCAAACAGGAUUAGAUACCCUGGUAGUCCACGCUGUAAACGAUGAUUACUAGGUGUGGGGGGACUGACCCCUUCCGUGCCGCAGUUAACACAAUAAGUAAUCCACCUGGGGAGUACGGCCGCAAGGUUGAAACUCAAAUGAAUUGACGGGG